GAGAGUUAAACAGUACGUGAAAUUGUUGAAAGGGAAACGAUUAAAGUCAGUCGUACCUACGAGUAAUCAACCUACACGAGCGCGAUUUUGUGGGUAUGAAGAGGUAAAACCUUCAUGUUUGCAAAUUGGUGUUCUUUGGGCGUACUUUCUCGUAUGGUAGGUUAACAUCAAUUUCGAUCGUUAUAAAAUGACGGGAGGAAUGUAGCUUCGACUUCGGUUGAAGUGUUAUAGCCUCUGGUAGAUGUAAUGAUUGGGAUUGAGGAUUGCAACGGAUACUCUCUGGGCUAUUCGUCUGAUCUCUGGAAGUUACCUUGGUGUCGAAAGCGUGCUUAUGACAUUAAGAAUGACGGCCAAAAGGUUAGAACGGAAUUAAAUUCGUUAAGGAUGUUGACGUAAUGGCUUUAAACGA
rnacentral:rRNA from 1 species